UCGGCCUAUCAGCUUGUUGGUGGGGUAACGGCCCACCAAGGCAUCGACGGGUAGCUGGUCUGAGAGGACGAUCAGCCACACUGGGACUGAGACACGGCCCAGACUCCUACGGGAGGCAGCAGCGGGGAAUAUUGCGCAAUGGACGAAAGCCUGACGCAGCAACGCCGCGUGAGGGAUGAAGGCUUUCGGGUUGUAAACCUCUUUCAGCAGGGACGAUUGUGACGGUACCUGCAGAAGAAGCCCCGGCCAACUACGUGCCAGCAGCCGCGGUAACACGUAGGGGGCGAGCGUUGUCCGGAUUUAUUGGGCGUAAAGAGCUCGUAGGUGGUUCGGUAAGUCAGGUGUGAAAACUCUGGGCUCAACUCAGAGACGCCACCUGAUACUGCCGUGACUGGAGUCUGGUAGGGGAGUGUGGAAUUUCCGGUGUAGCGGUGAAAUGCGCAGAUAUCGGAAGGAACACCAGUGGCGAAGGCGGCACUCUGGGCCAGUACUGACACUGAGGAGCGAAAGCGUGGGUAGCGAACAGGAUUAGAUACCCUGGUAGUCCACGCCGUAAACGUUGGGCACUAGGUGUGGGUCUCAACCAACGGGAUCCGUGCCGCAGCUAACGCAUUAAGUGCCCCGCCUGGGGAGUACGGA
rnacentral:rRNA from 1 species